UACGGAGGGUGCAAGCGUUAUCCGGAAUCACUGGGUUUAAAGGGUGCGUAGGCGGUUUGAUAAGUCAGUUGUGAAAUUCCCCGGCUUAACCGGGUGGACUGCGAUUGAUACUGUUGAACUUGAAUCAGGUUGAGGUCGGCGGAAUGUGACAUGUAGCGGUGAAAUGCUUAGAUAUGUCAUAGAACACCGAUUGCGAAGGCAGCUGGCUAGACCUAGAUUGACGCUGAGGCACGAAAGCGUGGGGAGCAAACAGG
rnacentral:rRNA from 2 species